rnacentral:lncRNA from 1 species
GCCGUGGUUACAAUUAAUCCACCAUCGUGGCAUUAAUUCGAUUAAUUUAUUUCAAGGUUGACCGACAGCAAAGUGGCGACGCCGUGCCGGAGUUGAGCAUGCGGCCGUGAAGAUGUAAUUGCCUCCACCACUUCAUUAUAUAUUUCUUCCACAGACUCGAUCUUUAUCUCGCACGAUCUUCAUUCUGAGACCAUUACAAUUGUUCAUCUUUCCUUUUGCUCCUUUCCACACGUGCUUGGUGCAAUAUCCAUUCUCUCACCUACACCUUCAACAACCCGCUAUUUUAUUCAUAAUAGAAGAGGCAACAGCGUAAUUCGAGAAGGUACAACGCAGGAACGUCCAUGAACGUGGUGCAACAUAACAGAAGUUGCGGUUAAGUUUUUUUAUUUAAUUAAAACAAUUUACGUGAUGUGAUAAAAUAGCUAAAAAAAUGUGAUUGAUUUUUCUCUGUAAAACAGUUUUCCACUUAAACAAAACAAU